UCCAGUUGAUCCUGCUGGCGGCUGCGGCUCUCUGGUUUGCGUUUAGACAUGCAAGUCUUUCUGUUCUUGAACGGAAGGCGAACUGCUCAGUAACACGUAGCUAAUCUACCCUUAGGUCAGGGAUAUCCUCGGGAAACUGAGGUUAAUACCUGAUAAGAGAUAUUCCUGGAAUGAUUUAUCUCUGAAAUUCGUGCCUAAGGAAGAGGCUGCGGUGGAUUAGGUAGUUGGUGGUAUAAGAGACUACCAAGCCAUUGAUCCAUAAGGGCUCUUAGCGGAGAGGCCCUGAGAGGGAAUCUGAGAUACUAUUCCCAGCCCCACGGGGUGCAGCAGUUAGGAAUAUUCUGCAAUGCGCGCAAGCGUGACAGAUUGAACCAGAGUGUUUGUCAUUAGACAGACUUUUGUGGAAUGUAAAAAGUUCCACGAAUAAGGACUGGGUAAGACUAGUGCCAGCCGCCGCGGUAAUACUAGCGGUCCAAGUCGCAGCCAUUUUUAUUGGGUCUAAAACAUCCGUAGCUUGUUCGGUAAGUUUCUUGUGAAAUCUUGUCUCUUAAAGACAGGGCGGGCAGGAAAUACUGCCGGGCUAGAGACCGGGAGACGUAAUGAGUACGACUAAAGUAACGGUAAAAUGUUUUAAUCUUAGUCGGACUAACAAUAGCGAAGGCACAUUACGAGAACGGUUCUGACAGUAAGGGAUGAAAGCUAGGGGCGCAAAACGGAUUAGAUACCCGUGUAGUCCUAGCAGUAAACACUGCACACUAAACAUUGGGACCUCUUCGUGAGGUUUCAGUGCUGCAGGGAAGCCGAAGAGUGUGCUACCUGGGAAGUAUAGUCGCAAGACCGAAACUUAAAGGAAUUGGCGGGAGACACUACAAUGGGUGACGCGUGCGGUUCAAUUAGAUUCUACACCGUGAACCUCACCAGGAGCGACAGCAGGAUGAAGGUCAGUCUAAAGGGCUUACCUGACACGCUGAGAGGAGUUGCAUGGCCGACGUCAGCCUGUGCCGUGAGGUGACCUGUUAAAUCAGGUAACAGGCGAGACCCACAUGUAUAUUUACUAAGUGUACCAUAUACAGAUUGCCUUGGUAACAAGGAUGAAAGCGUGGGCUACGUUAGGUGAGUACAGCCCGAAUCCCCUGGGCAACACGCGCGCGGCAAUGGUGAAUACAACGGGACGCGACUCUGAAAAGAGAAGCUAAUCUCUUAAAAUUCAUCUUAGUCCAAAUUGAGGUUUGUAACCCAGCCUCAUGCCGAUGGAAUCCAUAGUAAUCGUUUGUU
rnacentral:rRNA from 1 species